GCCCUUGUGGCGAAAUGGUAUACGCACUUGUUUUAGGAACAAGCGCCUUACGGCAUGUCAGUUCGAGUCUGACCAAGGGCA
rnacentral:tRNA from 1 species